rfam:Methylobacterium platani strain SE2.11 contig_11, whole genome shotgun sequence.
CGUCGGCCCUCCAAAGGCCGACACCGAAGAGGCUUGUUUCUCCUUGCCCCGAGUGCGGAUCGGGUUUCCCCGUUCCAAGCAAAGGCAGCUUCCGGGUGCUCUGCGCCCGCGUCGUACGGCGUGUCUC